UUCUUAGCUGGCAGCAGUUGUUUACGAAGUAGCGCGCUCGUGUAGGUCAGUUUGAGGUAUUGCUGGCGAAUGGAUUGCUAAGGUUAUCCUUGUGUUCUUUGUUUUGUUAUUCUAGCGCUUAACCCUGGUGUGGCGGCUCCAGGCGAAUAAGGCAUAGAUUCCGUAAAGUCAAGCAUCUGCUGAUGCAAAUCUGGGGACGUGUUCUGCGUUGAUCUCUUCGGCGAUACUAUCGCCUUCGCGUGACGCAGUACUCAACCAGCCAAUCAGCUCAUCCAAUUUUACUCAACCAACCAAUCAGCGCGUGACUGAUGGCGAUACGAUCGCCGAAGGAGAUCGGCGCAGAAAACGUCCCCUGACGCUCGUUUCAAGGCUGUCCGGUUGACGCUAGUUCCAGGUCUCAUGGCCUAUAAGCGCGGUCAGCAACCUCGUGUAAUUUAAGGAAGGCAGCCACCGAGAGCCGAUCCUUGAGAGCGGAAGGGCGGUGCGAUAUCAGCGGCGCAAGUGUUCUGCGCACACCACGAAAGCGGUUCCCCUUGGCAGCUUGACGGCACAAACAAGCGGCCGCUGCUGAAGCGUCGGCUACGCAAUCGAGAAACCAUCUCAUAUUUUCGCAUCCGUCCUGCGUUUGCUGUCUCAGGGGGUUGCCUUCGCUGUCGGCCUGCGUACCGCUCGAGAUGUCGACAGUAUAGGAUUGUGUGCGACGAGAUUGUGGCUGGCUGCUCUCAUAGUCCGUGCGUAUCGAAACCACGAACGCGGCCGGCGUCGACGUCCUGCUGCAGCGGGAUACCACAGGUGGCUGUGAUAAGCGUCCUGCCUUAUCGUCUGAUGCACUUCGUUUGUCCGCUGUACUGGCGCAACGUGUGAUUGGGGUUCAUGGCGUCGCGCUGCGGCGAUAGGGCAUUUUGUAAAUGCGAUUGAUGCGGAGAAAUCAGUAAUGUGUGCGGGCGGAUGAUUUCGAGCCUUACACGUUUUCUGCGACGGAUAACUUGCGAAGUAACGGAGAAGUAUCUGCAGCGGAGACAUCUACGGCGCUAAACAUGCCGAUCAUCUGUGAUAAAACUGAAGCUGAAGUCGAGGGUCCACUGAAAGACCUGGAGACCCUGGCAAUGGAAGAGCUGGGUGAAACCCCGGAAGUGAAACAAAGAUGUUUGGCAGAGUUACGACAGCUUCUUGAAGGAGAAGACAACCUGCGAGUGCCUCAAGACGACGCAUUCCUGCUCAUGUUCCUUCGAGCCCGCAAAUACCGAGUGAACGACGCACUCAAAAGACUGAAAAACUACUUCCGCGUUCGCAAGCAAAUGCCUGAGUAUUUUGAAGAUCUAACACCAUCUAGCGUCCCAUACCAGACAGUAUUUUAUGACCACAAGCUCAUUUUGUCGUCGAAAAAGAGAGAUCCACUGCGCAGAGCUAUAGGGUAUGUAAGGUUUGGAGCUUGGAAUAGUGACAUCUGCUCGAUGAACGAGCUAGUGAGCUGCGUGAUGAUGGCCAUGGAAUGCAACCUCCUCUCAGAAGAGACGCAGAUUCGGGGGGCCGUGGGCAUCAUAGACAUGGAAGGCUUCAGUGCGCACCAUCUCAUCACGCUGUCACCGUGGUUUCUGCGUCGAGUAGUAACUAUUAUACAGGAUUCACUCCCUGUCCGCAUCAAGGGGCUUUAUUUUGUGAACACUCCAGCUAUCUUCACUUUUGUUUAUUCUCUCAUCAAGUCACUUAUGUCUGCAAAAUUAAGGAAAAGGCUGCGACUACUUGGGAGUGACUUUUCUACUCUUGGCGACAUCCUUCCUUCAGAAUUUAUACCCAAAGAGUAUGGCGGAGAGCGGGAGGACUUUGAUUACGAAAGCCAAGAGACAUUUUUCCAGAGUAAGACGAGCCAUUUUGAGCAAAUGCGUCAAUUUGGCUACUCGUCAGCUAAAUAAAGGAUACGGCUGUCACAUAAGAAACGGCUUUCUUGCGACGGAUGUUCCUAUACUCCCAUCUCAAGUUCGCAUUUUUAAAUAAAUAGCAAGCUGACGCUGCCGGCUUCACUGCCACUACUUUUUGCUCAUAAUAACCAGUGUUUUCUGCUAAGAAACCGGCUCACAAUUGAACCACUAGCAAAAUUAGGUUCUUCUUCCCUCCCGAGAAAACGGGUGCUAUACUCUCUCUCUCUUGGGCGUCUGAGACGCAUCGCCAAAAUGGUCUGCUCAAGCAGGGAGUGCUGCCGCUAAAGGUAGAGGCUGUAGGCUCGCUAGUGGCUUCAGAUGGAUGGAAGCACAUGCUGAAGUUUCAGCAAAGAAAAUUUGUAUUUGCAAGGACUUUUUACGUGAACGUAUUAGACAGAUACAAAGUCGAACUGCAUUACUAAGGGGAAGCAUGUCUGGACAAACCCGACGAUUCCUAGCACCUCAA